CAGUAGCCGCGGUAAUACGAAGGGUGCAAGCGUUAAUCGGAAUUACUGGGCGUAAAGCGUGCGUAGGCGGUGAGUUAAGUCUGCUGUGAAAUCCCCGGGCUCAACCUGGGAAUGGCAGUGGAUACUGGCUCGCUAGAGUGUGUCAGAGGAUGGUGGAAUUCCCGGUGUAGCGGUGAAAUGCGUAGAUAUCGUGAGGAAGACCAGUGGCGAAGGCGAUUCUCUGGGCAAUUCCUGACACUGAGGCACGAAGGCCAGGGGAGCAAACGGGAUUAGAGACCCCUGUAGUCCCUGUCUCUUAUAC
rnacentral:rRNA from 1 species